rnacentral:tRNA from 1 species
UAGCCUAGUGAUUAAGGCUAUGGAUCGCCAAUCCGGAUACGGCGGGUUCGAUUCCCGU